CUGCCGGUGAUAAACCGGAGGAAGGUGGGGAUGACGUCAAAUCAUCACGGCCCUUAUGUCCAGGGCUACACACGUGCUACAAUGGCCGGUACAAAGCGUUGCAAACCUGCGAAGGGGAGCCAAUCGCAAAAAACCGGUCUCAGUUCAGAUUGCAGUCUGCAACUCGACUGCAUGAAGCUGGAAUCGCUAGUAAUCGUGGAUCAGAACGCCACGGUGAAUACGUUCCCGGGCCUU
rnacentral:rRNA from 1 species